rnacentral:lncRNA from 1 species
CGGCUUGCUCCAGCCAUGUUUGCUCGUUUCCCGUGGAUGUGCGGUUCUUCCGUGGUUUCUCUCCAUCUAAGGAGCUUUGGGGGAACAUUUUUAGUUCCCCUACCACCAAGCCUUAUGGCUUAUUUAAGAAAACAUAUCAAAAUUCCACGAGAUUUUUGACGUUUUGAUAUGUUCUGGUAAGAUUUUUUUUUUGACAUGUCCUCCAUACUUUUUGAUAUUUGUAAUAUUUUCAGUCAAUUUUUCAUUUUUAAGGAAUAUUUCUUUGUUGUGCCUUUUGGUUGAUACUUGUGUGUGUAUGGUGGACUUACCUUUCUUUCAUUGUUUAUAUAUUCUUGCCCAUCGGGGCCACGGAUACCUGUGUGUCCUCCCCGCCAUUCCAUGCCCAACGGGGUUUUGGAUACUUACCUGCCUUUUCAUUCUUUUUUUUUCUUAUUAUUUUUUUUUCUAAACUUGCCCAUCUGGGCUGUGGAUACCUGCUUUUAUUCUUUUUUUCUUCUCCUUAGCCCAUCGGGGCCAUGGAUACCUGCUUUUUGUAAAAAAAAAAAAAAAAACAAAAAAACCUUUCUCGGUCCAUCGGGACCUCGGAUACCUGCGUUUAGUCUUUUUUUCCCAUGCCCAACGGGGCCUCGGAUACCUGCUGUUAUUAUUUUUUUUUCUUUUUCUUUUGCCCAUCGGGGCUGUGGAUACCUGCUUUAAAUUUUUUUUUUCACGGCCCAACGGGGCGCUUGGUGGAUGGAAAUAUGGUUUUGUGAGUUAUUGCACUACCUGGAAUAUCUAUGCCUCUUAUUUGCGUGUACUGUUGCUGCUGAUCGUUUGGUGCUGUGUGAGUGAACCUAUGGCUUAGAAAAACGACUUUGCUCUUAAACUGAGUGGGUGUUCAGGGCGUGGAGAGCCCGCGUCCGCCAUUAUGGCUUCUGCGUGAUACGGCUAUUCUCGAGCCAGUUACGCCAAGAAUUAGGACACCGAGGAGCACAGCGGACUGGAUAAAAGCAACCAAUUGCGCUGCGCUAGCUAAAGGCUUUCUUUAUAUGUGCGGGGUUGCGGGAUUCGCCUUGAUUUGUGGUAGCAUUUGCGGGGUUGUGCUAGCCGGAAGUAGAAAGCCAAGGAGUGCUCGUAUUAGUGUGCGGUGUUGCGCGGAAGCCGCAGAGGACUAGGGGAUAGGGCUCAGCGUGGGUGUGGGGAUUGGGCAGGGUGUGUGUGCAUAUGGACCCCUGGCGCGGUCCCCCGUGGCUUUAAGGGCUGCUCAGAAGUCUAUAAAAUGGCGGCUCGGGGGCUCCACCCGAGGCUCGACAGCCCAAUCUUUGUUCUGGUGUGUAGCAAUGGAUUAUAGGACAUUUAGGUCGUACAGGAAAAGAUGGCGGCUCAAGUUCUUGGUGCGGUAUAACGCAAAGGGCUUUGUGUGUCACAUGUCAGCUUCAUGUCUGAGUUAGCCUGGAGAGGUGGCACAUGCUCUUGAAUGUGUCUAAGAUGGCGGAAGUCAUGUGACCUGCCCUCUAGUGGUUUCUUUCAGUGAUUUUUUUUUUGGCGGGCUUUAGCUACUUGGCGGGCUUUGCCCGAGGGUACACUUGGUGCAUUAUGGUAGGGUGUGGUUGGUCCUACCUUGUGCCACUCGAAGCUGAGGCAAGGCUAAGUGGAAGUGUUGGUUGCCACUUGACGUAACUCGUCAGAAAUGGGCACAAGUGUGAAAGUGUUGGUGUUUGCUUGACUUCCAGUUAGAAAUGUGCAUUAUUGCUUGGUGGCCAGGAUGGAAUUAGACUGUGAUGAGUCACUGUCCCAUAAGGACGUGAGUUUCGCUUGGUACUUCACGUGUGUCUUUAGUCAUCAUUUUUUCGAAGUGCCUGCCCAGGUCGGGAGAGCGCAUGCUUGCAAUUCUAACACUGAAGUGUUGGAUGAUGUCGGAUCCGAUUCGAGAGACCGAGGCUGCGGGUUCUUGGUCGAUGUAAAUCAUUGAAACCUCACCUAUUAAAAGAAAGAAAAGUAUCUAAGGCCAUUUCAAGGACAUUUGACUCAUCCGCUUGCGUUCAUAGUCUCUUACAGUGCUCUAUACGUGGCGGUGCAAACUAAAACUCAGCCCGUUCCAUUCCUUUGUAUUGUUCAGUGGCUAGUCUACUUACACCUUGGCCUCUGAUUUAGCCAGCACUGAUCUCAAGCGGUUCUCUAAGCCUACUGGGUAUAAGUGGUGACUUUGGCCAGAGUCAUAGUGGAUCACAAAUCACUGGUGAAGAGGUAGAAUCCUACCUUCUUCCAAAAUCUACCCCAUGACUAUUGCUGGGGUUGCAUUUUGAUUUCAAUGAAUAUUUUGGAUGCCAACGACACGUCUGAUAGUGUGCUUUGCUAGUGUUUGAAUUUAAAACCGAAGUGAUUGUUUUCAAAAUGUAUUUACGAUUUGCUUACUUGUUGAAUUCAUUUUAAUUACCUUUAGUGAAUUGUUACUUUGGAGUCCUUAAAGUUUUCAAUAAUUUUUUUGGCAGAUGAUACUCAAAUUACUUGGCACUUAAAUGUACUUUCUUUCAAACUCAUCCACCGAGCUACUCUUCAAAUUUUUAAGUCUUAUAACACAGAUACUGUUAAUGUAAAGUGAACAUUAUGACUGGAUGUCAGGAGUAUUUGAGGUUCUAUACCAGUUCAGGCUUUGCUUUUGUUGCUAUUGUUGAUGCUAUAUUGACUAAUGGUUUUACUUGUCAGCAAGAGCCUUGAAUUGUAAUGCUCUGUGUCCUCUAUCAGACUUACUGUUAUAAUAGUAAUAUUAAGGCCUACAUUUCAACUUUCUGUGUGUUCUUGCCUUUAUGGCAUCUAGAUUCUCCUCAAGACUCAGCAAAUAGUGCUGCUGCUAUUGCUGCCCCAGCCCCAGGCCCAGCCCCAGCCCCUGCCCCAGCCCCAGCCCCAGCCCCUGCCCCAGCCCCAGCCCCUGCCCCUGCCCCAGCCCCUGCCCCAGCCCCAGCCCCAGCCCCUACCCCUGCCCCUGCCCCUGCCCCACCCAACCAACCCAAUCCAGUCCAGCCCUGCCCCAGCCCAGUCCUAGCCCCAGGCCCAGAUACUUUCAGACCUAUCCCAAGCCCACUUCUACUUAGAGAAAUUCGAAUCUUCAUUGAUUCAGUGCUAAAAUGCAGUGUCCAUCACUCAGCCUAUAAGACUGAGACAGCCCAUCUAUACCCCCUCCAUACUGACUUCUAGAGUCAUGGAAUUUCACUUAAUGCAUAGAAUCGUAUUGCUAAAAUGCAGUGCCCAUCACUCAGCCUAUAAGACUGAGAUAGCCCAUCUAUACCCCCUCCAUACUGACUUACAGAGUCAUGGAGUUUCACUUAAUGCAUGCAGUCCUAUUGCUAAAAUGCAGUGCCCAUAACUCAGCCUAUAAGACUGAGAUAGCCCAUUUAUACCCCAUACCCCCUCCAUACUGACUUCUAGGGUCAUGGAAUUUCACUUAAUACAUAGAAUCGUAUUGCUAAAAUGCAGUGUCCAUCACUCAGUCUAUAAGACUGAGAUAUCCCUAUGUAUACCCCAUACUCCCUCCAUACUGACUUCCAGAGUCAUAGAAUUUCACUUUGCAUACGGUCCUAUUGCUAAAAUGCAGUGUCCAUCACUCAGUCUAUAAGACUGAGAUAUCCCUAUGUAUACCCCAUACUCCCUCCAUACUGACUUCCAGAGUCAUAGAAUUUCACUUUGCAUACGGUCCUAUUGCUAAAAUGCAGUGCCCAUCACUCAGCCUAUAAGACUGAGAUAGCCCAUCUAUACCCCCUCCAUACUGACUUCCAGAGUCAUGGAAUUUCACUUAAUGCAUGCAGUCCUAUUGCUAAAAUGCAGUGCCCAUCACUCAGCCUAUAAGACUGAGAUAGCCCAUCUAUACCCCAUACCCCCUCCAUACUGACUUCCAGAGUCAUGGAAUUUCACUUAAUGCAUGCAGUCCUAUUGCUAAAAUGCAGUGCCCAUCACUCAGCCUAUAAGACUGAGAUAGCCCAUCUAUACCCACUCCAUACUGACUUCCAGAGUCAUGGAAUUUCACUUAAUGCAUGCAGUCCUAUUGCUAAAAUGCAGUGCCCAUCACUCAGCCUAUAAGACUGAGAUAGCCCAUCUAUACCCACUCCAUACUGACUUCCAGAGUCAUGGAGUUUCACUUAAUGCAUGCAGUCCUAUUGCUAAAAUGCAGUGCCCAUAACUCAGCCUAUAAGACUGAGAUAGCCCAUUUAUACCCCAUACCCCCUCCAUACUGACUUCUAGGGUCAUGGAAUUUCACUUAAUGCAUAGAAUCGUAUUGCUAAAAUGCAGUGUCCAUUACUCAGCCUAUAAGACUGAGAUAUCCCUAUGUAUACCCCAUACCCCCUCCAUACUGACUUCCAGAGACAUAGAAUUUCACUUUGCAUACGGUCCUAUUGCUAAAAUGCAGUGCCCAUCACUCAGCCUAUAAGACUGAGAUAUCCCUAUCUAUACCCUCUACCCCCUCCAUACUGACUUCCAGAGUCAUGGAAUUUCACAUAAUGUAUAGAUUUCUAUUGCUAAAAUGCAGUGCCCAUAACUCAGCCUAUAAGACUGAGAUAGCCCAUCUAUACCCCCUCCAUACUGAGUUCCAGAGUCAUGGAAUUUCACUUAAUGCAUAGAAUCGUAUUGCUAAAAUGCAGUGCCCAUCACUCAGCCUAUAAGACUGAGCCCAUCUAUACCCCAUACCCCCUCCAUACUGACUUCCAGAGUCAUGGAAUUUCACUUUGCAUACAGUCCUACUUUACUUGUCCAUGGACAAGUAAACAAAGAACUCUUGUCCUUCAUGUUAAUCAAGAUACACCAAUCAAACAAGAGUUUUAUAUCAGAGACUUGCCAUGGAGGUAUCAUCUCUCAAGUCUCCUUUCCUUUAAGGAAAGAAAACCAUUCUGUCAUUGCUGUAGUAGUCACAGUCCCAAGUUUCUAAGCAGUGUUCAGUCGUCUUUUCUCAUGUAUUACCUUGAGUACUGAAUAAUUCUGUCAGAAAUAUUUUGUCCAUUGGAUUAGACUUUAGCUAGUCCAGCCCUGUGUGCAUUUAGCAAAGGGGCAAACACAGGUCUGUUAUCAGACAGUUAAAGUGCUCAGUCCCAAUUUUCAAGGCAUUGGCCAUUAAAGGGGGUAGAAUACUAUAUACUGUUGGCAUGCUGUCAUGGGUGCUAUCGCCCCAGGUCACAUCUUUCUAACUGAUGGAGAUACAUUUAUUUGCUCAUGAUAUUGUAUACUAGUCUCACAUGCUUUCUUAUUUCAGCCAAAAACCUCUGCACUGGAACAUUUUAUGUGGAUAAUCCUGACUAGGAAUUGAGUCUUUUCUCAAGGUCCUAAUACUACCCUUGCUUUAUGUAAAGAGGGUGCUGAUUACUUAAUGCCUCUUACACAAUUGUGCAAAAUUGCAGUUGUUCAAGUCCCCUUCUGUUAGUAACCAAGAUCCCAUACCCUCAUACCCUAAUGGGUGACAAUCAAGGGUGCCAACCAAUGAGACCACUUCUCUGUUCUGGUCUUUCUGCUGUGCUGGGGAAUCAAACCUUGAGUCUUGUGUACGCUAGUAAAGCACUGUCAUAGAGCUACAGCCCCACCGUGUGGUGGUUUGAGAGAACAGCCUCUUAUGUAGCCUGGGCUGGGCGGGACUUACAGGCAUUGCCACCUGUAAUGUAAACAUAUUUGUGCCUGUUGUGUGCACAGCUGCAUUUGUCCCUCUUCCUAAGCAUUGGAUAAAGAAACCAAACUAAGUCAAGUCAUUUUGUUGGUAAUCAAGAAGACCUUUGAUCUGUCCUGUUUUUAACUUCCAGGCUGGCCUGGAACUUAGCAUAUAACCCAGGCUAGCCUUGAGCUCAGGAUCUAGCCUGCGUUUAACAAGUGUUGGCAUAUCUGGUUCCUACCACUAUGCCCUGCAUGCAGUCUUUCAUAUUGUGAAUGUGCAUAUGUCAUUUCACUGUAGUAAUCUGCAUCUGGUGAAGACUUAUUUGUAUUGCAGCAGUAUUUAAGAUCCUUAACAUAGUAAAUGUGCACAGUGUUAACUCUAUUGUACAUAUUCUCAUGUCCACAGUUGUGCCUUUUAGAUCAGGACUCCUGUACUUAGCAAAGCAAAGAGGCUCACUAAUAUAAAGCUUCUUUCAUGAGACUAUAGAUUGAAACGAUUCCAAUACGGUCAAUGGUCCUUCAAGGUAAGACUUCUGUCUCUGAUCAUUCAUAUCCUCUUUGCUUUAUGGAAUUAUGUAUGUGCUGUGCACUUGAAACCCCUUCCUCAAACUAUUUAUGUACAUACUGGCAAUUUUAGUAGGAUCAAUUUUACUCUUAACUUUGAAGUACAGAAGUGGUGUUGACCUAUAAGGUCCCAUUUUGUGGCUUGCUAAUAAUAAUGACUGAUUGUAGUAGGCCUUUUCUGUUCACUACAGAAGGAAACCUGAACAGCGUAAAACUGUAAUGGCCAUAAACAUGUACCUUGCAUAUUAGUAUGCAUUUACUGCACACAUCUCAUUCCAUUUGGAUACGAUCCUACUCUCAAACCCUUUUGCAGUACAGCAAGGGUCACUAAUCUUUUGGCUUCUUCAUCUUCCUGGACACUGGAUAAGGCUGUCCCCUCCUUUCCACUCUUUAAUUUCCAGGACUAUUACUUUAAAGACUUAAUAUUUGCAUAAAGGAUGGGGUUUUUAAUUGAUAACAUGUCCCUUGAACAUUAAUGUAUAUAACAGGGACAUGAUCCAUUCAUUUUAAUAAAAAUACUUGGCCAGUUAAUGUGUAAAAUUACACUUAUCCACAACCUUAUUACUUUUCGGACCAUUGUAUCUCUUGCACUCCUGCAAGGGAUACCGUUUAUCUCCCAAGGUCCCUGCUAGUGGACCAUUAAUAUACAGUGAAUCUUCCUUUGUCUUUGCCAGUAAACAAAGGCCAUACUCCUUCGCCUUUCAUUUGCACUAUAUCAGGAUAUGCUGAUCAACAAGGCCGCAUUCUUUUGGACUGUUAUCAUAUAUUAAAUGUAUGCGUAUGCACUGCCACCUGCUCUGUGCACUUGAAAGGAUCCCACUCACUUCCUUAGCACCUUCAGCAGGAAGUGAUAAUAAGCUCAAGACUUUCAUUUGGAAAGUUCACAUGUCUAAGCACUUCUCUAAGAACUACUGUACCCUCUUCUCCGCUUUAAAGCAGAAAGAGGGUUGUACGAAGUGCUCUUCAUUUGGACUUAAGUGCAUUAAUGCAGUUAGUUGUCCAUCAUUACCUUUGGAGUUGGAUUUUACAUCCUUGUACUCUUUUGACACCAGAGGCAUAUUAAUUAUUUCUGAGCACUUCUCUUGUCAAUAUUAAUCUGUACCCUUACACAUAUGACCUGUGCGGCAGCAAAGGUUCUGAAAUGCCUACCUUUUGACUGGGGCUGCUGAGUGGUAGUAACUAUUAGUAACCUCAGCAUUUGGAUGAUUACUAUGCAAAAAUGUCAAGGACCUGUGUGCUCUCUUUGCAUACCAUCAAGGCUACUGAGUCCCAGAAUUAAUUGCUAAGUUAUGCGUAUUUAUAACUAUGAAUGUCUGGAAUAUUUUGUCCCCUUUACAUUAUUGCAGAGGUUGCUGAGCCCCCGAAACUACCCGGUACUGUCAAUGAGCACAGGGGCUCUGACGAAUGACCUGCUCUCUUCCUUAAACUGAUUUUGGGACUCUUAAUAGGCACAAUGGCAGUUCUGGAUGGUUUAUUUUCUACUCCAACUUGAGCAAAUCCCCUGCUAGUUUCCCAAUGAUAUAAUAAAGUACAGCAGUAUGUACACCCAACAAUGACCCGGAUUUCGACCCUUUUUGCAUUGCUUUAAUAUAUACAAUCCUAAAUAGUCACAAUCUCACACUUUAUAGUGUUCCUUUUGCCCGGCCUCUAGUUUGUCCAUUGACCACUUUUCUGAAUCACUAAUUCUCACAAACCCAUCAUUAAGGAAGAGUUUGUGCCCUUUCUCAAUUCCAUCAUGCCAUCCCUUUUGCCUCUUUGUUUGAACAGUAUUGACUGGGCAAAGCCCUUCUCUUGACUUAAAGUCAACAACACCAGUUUACUCACUUCAUAUGGCUACAGUGUCUCAGUUGCCUUCUCCUUGCUCCCACUGAACAGAGACACCUCGAAUUCUUACAUUAUUCUGGGUAAUGUUAAUUACCCCAAACACCCUAUGUGUCAUUAAUAAAUUUUGGUGUAUUUAUACACUGAAUAGCAAAAGCAGGCCAAAACUAGGUGGAUGAGCCUUCAAUCUUUAACUUGCACUUCUAAAUUAUUCCAAUUCCAACUGCUGGCACAUUCUAGGGCCAGGAACCAUUCUUGCCUACCUUUAUUAAUGCUUUAUUGUGCAAAAUAUUGCAGGCAAGUAGCUCAGGGAGUUGGAUUGCCACCUUUUACUUGGGGCUUUCCUUUACAGUAUGAACUGAAAAUUGUCUUCCUGAGAAGGAAGCUUAGCACUUUUCUUUCCGUUCUUCCUCCAGGAAGGAGCCAACUGUCUGCUUAAGAAACUUUAAGCCCGAUUUUGUAUAUUGCUACUGUACAGGACCAACUGCCAGAAAAGUUAUUGAUAAUUUUAUUCCUUAAGAAAGGCAUUUGGAUUGCAAGGUGGAUUGACUGUGAGAUCAUUAGCUUUUGUGAAGUAAAAAUAGCCAUUUGUGUCAUGUUUCUGAAGACUAAGCAGUGUCUCAGUGUACUGAGGGUGAUGAGUCUGUGGAAAGAUCAGUGCAACUAUUGCAGAAUGUUUAAGACAAGUAUCUUUGCUUGGUCUUUACUACAAGUUUAACAAAACGAAAAAGUCAAUCUUUGUGUGGCCUUUAGUAUGAUUAACUUUUUGGAAGAUGACCUAAGCCUUCUAAUCAUUAUAUUUUGUCUGACAUUGGUCACCAGUCCUUGCUUAUUUUUAAAAGGUGACUGGAUGGAUUAAAUUUGAGAACAUGUCAAGUCGCCUUUGAAAAUUAUAUAGGCCAUCACAUUUAAUUAAUUCAUUCUAUCCACCAUUAAACUCUGGCAAUAAUUUGAAGUAGCUUGAAAAUUCCUAAAGUGGGAAUUUAUUUUAGAGAUGAUAGAACCUGUUUCCCCACUUUACAUUUUAAAAUAUGUCUGCCAGGAUCUAAUCAUUCCUUUAAACGUACACUUCAAAGAGAGAUUUUCCUAGUAAGAAAAGAGCUUUCUCUAGUGUGAAGGGUGCUUUGUAGCCGCCGAGUACUUAGGUCUUUUUUGGGAGCUAUUGUGUAUGAGUGUAUGUAUGUGUGUGUGUACAUGCAUGUUGCUGCGCGCAGUCAUUCAUUCACAUGGUGCUCAGACAACAAUGGGAGCUGGUUCGUCUAUCUUGUGGGUCCUGGAGAUCAAAGUGAGAUCAUCAGGCUUGGCAGCAAGUGCCUUUACCCUCCGCGUGCCAUCUUGCCAUCCCGCUGCUGAGUGUUUGAUAUGACAUUGCUGAUGAAAAUAAUCAUCACAACAGCAGUUCUCCCAGCAUUACUGAGAAAUGAUACUAUUUUUCUGAGGAGGAUGUUCAAGUAACUCAUCCAGUGCAGGAUCCUGCUUGAACUACUGCUCCUCCGUUACAUCAGACUCUGGCUGUUUAGACUACAGGAUGAAUUUGGAGUCUGUUUUGUGCUCCUGCCUCAAGAAGAAGGAUUGCCUGGAUUUAGAGGAGUGAAGAGUGCUGGAGAGAGCCCAAAGGGACAAACAAUCCCUAUGUGAGACUCAAGGACUGCCAGCAGCCUAUACAGCUACAUUACAUCUCAGCAGAACUUCUCUUCAAGUCCUCGCUACUCUGAACAAAAAGCUUACAGGCCACAUGGAGAAAAAAAGAUCUCCCCCCAGAAUUGUGGGCUUGCUGCUUUGCAGUGCUGGCGACCUAUUCCCUUUGACGAUCCCUAGGUGGAGAUGGGGCAUGAGGAUCCUCCAGGGGAAUAGCUCACCACCACUGGGCAACAGGCCUAGCCCAGAUUUCAGUGAGACGCUUUCCUGAACCCAGCAAGGAAGACAAAGGCUCAAAGAAUGCCACCCUACAUCAAAGUAGGAGAAAAGCUGCUGCAAUAGUGGCACUGACCUUCGAGGAAGCCAUUCUGCUCUAUUUGGUUCUCUCUCCAGAAGCUAGGAAAGCUUUGCCAGCUGUUUACAUACUUCAAGAUGCACUGCUACCCUACUCAUGCCAUAUAAUACACAAUGCCAUCUACCAAAUAUUACCCUUCCCCAAAGCAGCACAGAAAACUGGGUCUUCAGCGUGAUCAAGCAAUGUGAACACACAAAAGGAAGGCAGCUUUAUAAAUGACCCGAGGAUCAACAUGCCUGACUGCAGCAUCUUAAAAGCAAUAGAAUGAGUGUGUAUUGUGGGUGUGUCUAUUUCUUGUUUUAUGUAUCUAUUUUUUCCUUGGUCUGUGUGUCUAAUUCUUUGUUACAUCUAUUUCUUCCUUGCUUUGUGUGUCUAUUUCUUCCUUGCUUUGUGUGUCUAUUUCUUCCUUGCAUUAUGUCUAAUUCUUUGUUAUAUCUAUUUCUUCCUUGCUUUGUGUCUAUUUCUUCCUUGCAGUUGUGUCUAAUUCUUUGUUACAUCUAUUUCUUCCUUGCUUUGUGUGUCUAUUUCUUCCUUGCAUUGUGUCUAAUUCUUUGUUAUAUCUAUUUCUUCCUUGCUUUGUGUGUCUGUCUUCCUUGCUUUGUGUCUAUUUCUUCCUUGCAGUUGUGUCUAAUUCUUUGUUACAUCUAUUUCUUCCUUGCUUUUGUGUGUCUUUCUUUCUUGCUUUUGUGUGUCUAUUUCUUCCUUGCAGUUGUGUCUAAUUCUUUGUUACAUCUAUUUCUUCCUUGCUUUUGUGUGUCUAUUUCUUCCUUGCAUUGUGUCUAAUUCUUUGGUAUAUAUAUUUCUUCAUUGCUUUGUGUGUCUAUGUCUCCUUGUGUUGUCUAAUUCGUUGUUGCAUCUAUUUCUUCCUUGCUUUGUGUGUCUAUUUCUUCCUUGCUUUGUGUGUCUAUGUCUUCCUUGCUUUGUGUGUCUAUGUCUUCCUUGUUUUGUGUAUCUACUUCUUCCUUGUGUGUCUAAUUCUUUGUUACAUCUAUUUCUUCCUUCCUUUGCAUGUCUCCUUCUUUCCUUUGUGUGUCUUUUCUGUCUGCAGUGUGUCUUACCUAUUCCCAUGUUUCUCCUGCAUGUUCUUUCUUGCAGAGCUUUGAGCUUUGUUUCACUUUCUCUGGUGCCUGUGUGGUCUGCUUUGUCUUCACUAGCUAUGGCUCUCUGUUUUAUCUAUCUGGUUGCUAUUUCUCUUAGCUUUUCUUUCACUCCUGCCUUUCGUGACUCCCCUUUGGGUCACAUGUUGCAUGCAUCCCUCUCUUUUUCUUGUGCUCACCCCACUUGUUCUUUGUUCAAGUUCUCUUUGUCAGUCCAUUUCAGUUUUCUUUCUGCUGCUUCUAUCCUUAGUGAAUUCUUGUUUACAUUUCUUCCCUGCCUUUCUUGGGCCACUUUCUCUGUUUUCUUUUGUAUUUGUGUCUCUUUGCUAUUGGUGGAUUUCUUAUCUCAGCAUCAUUCUGUUGCUUUGUGUUUGCUUGUGUUUCUAUCUUCUACUUUCCUCCUUUCUGUUCACUUUGAGCAUUUCAUCUCUUUACAAGUCUGUGUCUCUCUUGUAUUCUAAAGUAAUCCUUUCUUGGAUGUUUCUUUGUAUGUACAUGUGCGUGUGUGCAUGUGUGUUAUGUGUGUCAUGUGUGAGAGGAGCUUCAUAGCCCCUUCCCAAUAGGUCCAGAAUGUCACCCGUGGAGCCGUUCCUCACACCAGACUGCCCUGAGAAAUAAUCUAAGACAAAAUACAUCAUUCCGUCCGGUCAGGAUUCAAGUGGCUCUGAAGUGAACGCCCAAGUAGAAGACAGAAGUUUUGCGACUUGAGAUUUAAAAGGACCAAAAUACACAGAUGGCCCGUCUUGAGCUGGCUGGACAGAAUGCUGACAACCCAAAGAAGAGGAACUGUUUCUACAGGACACCUGUGACUUCCAAGAGCGGGGAACUACUUACUGCCAUCAAUAUUGCUACCAAUUAAGCACAUCCUACCAUCAUCUGCUUUGAUCACAUAAAUGAACUGUGUACCAAUCUGUUGUUGAAAGACUGGAGUCAUCUUCCCACCAACUGUGAAAAAACACAUGGAAAACACCUGGACUUUGUGAACGGAUGCGGAAUACAGAACUUCUGUUGACUCUUGGGUGUUUUGAAGACUUGAAAAAAAAAACUGUUGCUUACCAACAUGUCACAAUGAGUCCGUGUGUGGGUGGGUGGAUGGGUGGGUGGGUGGGUGGGUGGGUGGUUGAGUGGGUGGGGUAGUUUGCUGUUAAAUAAAAUGCUUUGUUUUGAA